rnacentral:rRNA from 1 species
UCGGAGAGUUUGAUCCUGGCUCAGGACGAACGCUGGCGGCGUGCCUAAUACAUGCAAGUCGAGCGAAUCGAAGGGAGCUUGCUCCCUGAGAUUAGCGGCGGACGGGUGAGUAACACGUGGGCAACCUGCCUAUAAGACUGGGAUAACUUCGGGAAACCGGAGCUAAUACCGGAUACGUUCUUUUCUCGCAUGAGGGAAGAUGGAAAGACGGUUUACGCUGUCACUUAUAGAUGGGCCCGCGGCGCAUUAGCUAGUUGGUGAGGUAAUGGC